AGGUUUUACUGAAUGCCAACUACACGGUCAGAUUGGAGGCAUUGGGAGGGUCACGAAAUGCCACACCAUGUGAAGCCCUUGCCAUAUUACAGCUAUGACCAGCCUGUGAUUGGGUACUGCCAGGCCCACCAGCCUCUCCAUGUCACCAAGGGCUAUGAGACAGUGUCUCUGGAGCAAGAUGAAAGCACCGGCCUGGAGCUAGGGCAAGACCACAGCUUCAUCGCCACCAUCGCCAGGUCGGCAGCACCGGCCAUUUACCUUGAGAGAAUUGCAAACUAACGCUGAAGCCAACUCCUCAUUGGGGAACUCCACGGGGGGAGGGAGGGCCUUCAUCUUAAAGGAGAGUGGGUGUCUGAAAUCGUGCAAUCAAGCAAGCUCAUCGUUCCUGUUAAAACAUUUAUGGCAUAGAGAAAAGGAAAAGAUAAAACCAAACUGCUUAAAAAGGGUAGCGAAUGCACCUGCAGCAUAACUGGGAGAACUGCAGAACUUUCUUUGCUUUAAAACGUAAACGAACAAAAAUGCUCCCGGAUGUAAAUAGUAAGAGUGUCAAGUUCUUAUAAAAAUAGAUUUCACCCUAGCUACAUAUAGGUUUGUUUGUGUAUUUGAUUUUUCCACACUGCAUGGUUCCUGAGCUGGAGAACCACAGGAGGGCAAAUAAACAGGGGUGGGUGGGAAGUUGGGGAAACAGCAGGUUUCCUCUUUUGGUAUUUGUAACUCUCACAGACUUUAUUUAAAUUGUUUUUAUUUUCUUUUAAAAUGCUGUUUGUUCUUGUUUUGUUUGUUUUAAGUUGUUUUUUUUUUUUUCCUGGUCAAGUUUCUAAUACAAAACAUAAGCAUUAAAGCUUAUGUUGUAUCAAAAGAAAAUGUGUUUUACCACGGACCACAGAUAAAGUUGACCACAAAGUUCCAUAAAACUACUGGAAAGAAAACUCAGUAAGUCUGGGUGAAUGACUCUUCAUGACAAAUGCCAUAUGUGGCACAUGAUAGAAGGAGUUUUGUUUUGUCCAGUUGGCAGCCUUCACUGUGUAGGAUGUCUGAGAGAGCCUUGAAGAUCUCCGAAUGACAAGAUCAGCAGAAUCAUUCUCAUGUGGACUAAGGCUAUAAAAGAGCCAUGGCCAUGUGCUCAAUGAAUGAAACUGCCAAGCUGACAAAUUUCUAAACACAAGAUAAUGUGUAACCUUGCUUUUUAAAUUAAUUAUCAAUUAGAUUUUGUGUAGUUUUUAUCAAUAAAAGAAAAAAUGUUGAAAAACAAAUAUAUUAUUUUGUGGUUGGUGUACCACAGCCCACCUAA